rnacentral:rRNA from 1 species
CUACCUACGGGGGGCAGAAGUGGGGAAUAUUGGACAAUGGGGGGAACCCUGAUCCAGCGACGCCGCGUGAGUGAAGAAGUAUUUCGGUAUGUAAAGCUCUAUCAGCAGGGAAGAAAGAAAUGACGGUACCUGACUAAGAAGCGCCGGCUAACUACGUGCCAGCAGCCGCGGUAAUACGUAGGGGGCAAGCGUUAUCCGGAUUUACUGGGUGUAAAGGGAGCGUAGACGGCAAUGCAAGUCUGGAGUGAAGGGCGGGGGCCCAACCCCAGGACUGCUCUGGAAACUGUAUAGCUGGAGUGCAGGGG